UUGCUCCUUGGGUGAGAGUGGCGGACGGGUGAGUAAUGUCUGGGGAUCUGCCCGAUAGAGGGGGAUAACCACUGGAAACGGUGGCUAAUACCGCAUAACGUCGCAAGACCAAAGAGGGGGACCUUCGGGCCUCUCACUAUCGGAUGAACCCAGAUGGGAUUAGCUAGUAGGCGGGGUAAUGGCCCACCUAGGCGACGAUCCCUAGCUGGUCUGAGAGGAUGACCAGCCACACUGGAACUGAGACACGGUCCAGACUCCUACGGGAGGCAGCAGUGGGGAAUAUUGCACAAUGGGCGCAAGCCUGAUGCAGCCAUGCCGCGUGUAUGAAGAAGGCCUUCGGGUUGUAAAGUACUUUCAGCGGGGAGGAAGGCGAUGCGGUUAAUAACCGCGUCGAUUGACGUUACCCGCAGAAGAAGCACCGGCUAACUCCGUGCCAGCAGCCGCGGUAAUACGGAGGGUGCAAGCGUUAAUCGGAAUUACUGGGCGUAAAGCGCACGCAGGCGGUCUGUUAAGUCAGAUGUGAAAUCCCCGGGCUUAACCUGGGAACUGCAUUUGAAACUGGCAGGCUUGAGUCUUGUA
rnacentral:rRNA from 1 species